rnacentral:rRNA from 1 species
UACGUAGGGUGCGAGCGUUGCCCGGAUUUAUUGGGCGUAAAGGGCGCGUAGGCGGUGCCGUACGUCCGUUGUGAAAUCGCUCGGCUCAACUGGGCGGGGUCAGCGGAUACGGUGGCACUUGAGCAAGCUAGGGGGCAAUGGAAUUCCCGGUGUAGUGGUGGAAUGCGUAGAUAUCGGGAGGAACACCAGUGGCGAAGGCGGUUGCCUGGAGCUUUGCUGACGCUGAUGCGCGAAAGCGUGGGGAGCGAUCCGG